UACGUAGGAGGCAAGCGUUUGUCCGGAAUUACUGGGCGUAAAGCGCGUGUAGGUGGUGGGACAAGUCUGCUGUGAAAGCGCCUGGCUUAACCGGGCGAGGUCGGCGGAAACUGUCCGACUCGAGGACGGUAGAGGGGGGUGGAAUUCCCGGGUGUAGUGGUGAAUGCGUAGAGAGUCGGGAGGAACACCUGUGGCGAAGGCGGCCCCCUGGGCCGGCCCUGACACUGAGACGCGAAGGCGUGGGGAGCGAACGGGG
rnacentral:rRNA from 1 species